rnacentral:rRNA from 1 species
UACGUAGGUGGCAAGCGUUGUCCGGAAUUAUUGGGCGUAAAGCGCGCGCAGGCGGUCCUUUAAGUCUGAUGUGAAAGCCCACGGCUCGACCGUGGAGGGUCAUUGGAAACUGGGGGACUUGAGUGCAGGAGAGAAGAGUGGAAUUCCACGUGUAGCGGUGAAAUGCGUAGAGAUGUGGAGGAACACCAGUGGCGAAGGCGACUCUUUGGCCUGUAACUGACGCUGAGGCGCGAAAGCGUGGGGAGCGAACAGG